CGCGUGGGUAACCUGCCCUUUUGUGGGGAACAACUUCGAGAAAUCGGAGCUAAUACCGCAUAAUAAUAGAGGAUCGCAUGAUUCUUUAAGGAAAGAUGGCCUCUGAAGAUUGCUAUCGCAAAAGGAUGGACCCGCGUCUGAUUAGCUAGUUGGAAGGGUAACGGCCUACCAAGGCAACGAUCAGUAGCCGGCCUGAGAGGGUGAACGGCCACAUUGGGACUGAGACACGGCCCAAACUCCUACGGAAGGCAGCAG
rnacentral:rRNA from 1 species